rnacentral:tRNA from 1 species
GGUAAAGUGGUCGAGUUAGGCAAUAAAUUGUAAAUUUAUUUACGGGAUGUAUUUCUCCUUUACCA